CACACACUCCCGCACAGUAGGUGGCGGCAUGCACGAAAAUUUUGCAAACGCAAUGAUACCAAAGAAGGACCUUAGUAGGGUAGCCAGCUAGCUAAUGUCAACUUUAUAAAGUUUAGCUACAUAGCUUGCUAGUUCCCUACGCGUUUAUCUAAAUAUCUGUAGUUUUUAUUGAUAAACUGUCUAGCCACGUUGUUAAAGAUAAUGUCAAAUUGCUGCUGACAACUUCGUGAUAGUUGACCAACUUAUUUGGCUAUCAGCUUUACUCCAGCUAGGUCGCUUGCAUUCUAACUGACAAGCUAGCUAGCAAAGCUACUCGCUAAUUUAGCUGGCCAAAGAGCUCUGCCCUGCAAGUUACUCCUCAGCAGCUGCCAUGGCCUCUUCGGAGUUUCGGGGUGACGUUUCCCAGGUGCGCAGCGGCCGUGACACCAUCUUCUCUGAGGCCAUCAACCAGAAGAUGCGUGUCCCCGACCGGCUGAGAGUGGGGCCAGGCAUGGGACAGAGAUGGGAAGAGGAGAGGCAGGAGUGUGCUGACUGUCCCGCUUCUUACAGCAUGCACAUCCCAGACAGGCUGUCUCUCACAGAUGCCCCGGACAUGAGCCCCCAUCCACUGUUCACGUCAUCCAAGCAAGGCUCAGCCCUCCCUCUGGGGCCUGCAUGGGAGGCACAGCAGCACAGUGCCUGGAACAGAGAAAGAGACCCCUACAUGAGGGAACCAGUGCAGAGUCCACUGCGUAGGUCCUACAGUGACCAGGCUUUUGGCAGGAGCAACCCUGGCACCCCCACCUGCAAACAGACACCGCACACCCCUAUCUCGUUCAGCUCUCCUGAACACCCAACUACUGCUGUGGUUGAGGAGCCCCCUGUGUAUGUCGAAACAGACAGGAAAAGGUGA
rnacentral:lncRNA from 1 species